rnacentral:rRNA from 1 species
CCUACGGGAGGCAGCAGUGGGGGAUAUUGCACAAUGGGGGGAACCCUGAUGCAGCGACGCCGCGUGAGCGAAGAAGUACCUCGGUAUGUAAAGCUCUAUCAGCAGGGAAGAAAAUGACGGUACCUGACUAAGAAGCCCCGGCUAAAUACGUGCCAGCAGCCGCGGUAAUACGUAUGGGGCAAGCGUUAUCCGGAUUUACUGGGUGUAAAGGGAGCGCAGGCGGCCUGCCAAGUCUGGUGUGAAAACCCGGGGCCCAACCCCGGGCCUGCAUUGGAAACUGGCGGGCUGGAGUGUCGGAGGGGCAGGCGGAAUUCCUAGUGUAGCGGUGAAAUGCGUAGAUAUUAGGAGGAACUCCGAUCGCGAAGGCAAGUGUCCGGGGUGCAACUGACGCUGAGGCUCGAAAGUGCGGGUAUCAAACAGGAUUAGAUACCCUUGUAGUC